AGGUUUAGUUUAGAAACAGCAGCAACUUACACUGAGUGAUAACUGGUGUAUUUUUACUUGUCAUGCGGUUUACAAAAUCCUGUAGCUAGGACCUUGAGGGUUUAAGAAAGGCAAAUUGCAUACUAUAGAUGUAUGCUUCAUACUUUUGUGACAUUACAACAGAUCUGACCAAGGAGUGUUGGUGGCAAAUUUAUUGUUAUUAUAUAUACCUGUAUCUAUGUGUACAUAAAUGAUAUAAAUAUAUGGAUACCUUUAAACUUGA